GACGAACGCUGGCGGCGUGCUUAACACAUGCAAGUCGAACGGAAAGGCCCUGCUUUUGUGGGGUGCUCGAGUGGCGAACGGGUGAGUAACACGUGAGUAACCUGCCCUUGACUUUGGGAUAACUUCAGGAAACUGGGGCUAAUACCGGAUAGGAGCUCCUGCUGCAUGGUGGGGGUUGGAAAGUUUCGGCGGUUGGGGAUGGACUCGCGGCUUAUCAGCCUGUUGGUGGGGUAGUGGCUUACCAAGGCUUUGACGGGUAGCCGGCCUGUAAGGGUGACCGGCCACAUUGGGACGGAGAGACGGCCCAGACACCUACGGGAGGCAGGAGUGGGGAAGAUUGCACAAUGGGCGGAAGCCUGAUGCAGCAACGCCGGGUGCGGGAGGACGGCCUUCGGGUUGUAAGCCGCUUUCGCCUGUGACGAAGCGUGAGUGACGGUAAUGGGUAAAGAAGCACCGGCUAACUACGU
rnacentral:rRNA from 1 species